GGGUUGUGAGGUUAAGCGACUAAGCGUACACGGUGGAUGCCCUGGCAGUCAGAGGCGAUGAAGGACGUGCUAAUCUGCGAAAAGCGUCGGUAAGGUGAUAUGAACCGUUACAGCCGGCGAUGUCCGAAUGGGGAAACCCAGUGCAAUUCGUUGCACUAUCGUUAACUGAAUACAUAGGUUAACGAGGCGAACCGGGGAACUGAAACAUCUAAGUACCCCGAGGAAAAGAAAUCAACCGAGAUUCCCCAGUAGCGGCGAGCGAACGGGGAGCAGCCCAGAGUCUGAAUCAGCUUGUGUGUUAGUGGAACGGUCUGGAAAGUCCGACGGUACAGGGUGAUAGUCCCGUACACCAAAAUGCACAGGUUGUGAACUCGAAGAGUAGGGCGGGACACGUGGUAUCCUGUCUGAAUAUGGGGGGACCAUCCUCCAAGGCUAAAUACUCCUGACUGACCGAUAGUGAACCAGUACCGUGAGGGAAAGGCGAAAAGAACCCCGGCGAGGGGAGUGAAAAAGAACCUGAAACCGUGUACGUACAAGCAGUGGGAGCACCUUCGGGUGUGACUGCGUACCUUUGUAUAAUGGGUCAGCGACUUAUAUUCUGUAGCAAGGUUAACCGUAUAGGGAGCCGCAGGGAAACCGAGUCUUAACUGGGCGUUAAGUUGCAGGGUAUAGACCCGAAACCCGGUGAUCUAGCCAUGGGCAGGUUGAAGGUUGGGUAACACUAACUGGAGGACCGAACCGACUAAUGUUGAAAAAUUAGCGGAUGACUUGUGGCUGGGGGUGAAAGGCCAAUCAAACCGGGAGAUAGCUGGUUCUCCCCGAAAGCUAUUUAGGUAGCGCCUCGUGAACUCAUCUUCGGGGGUAGAGCACUGUUUCGGCUAGGGGGUCAUCCCGACUUACCAACCCGAUGCAAACUACGAAUACCGAAGAAUGUUAUCACGGGAGACACACGGCGGGUGCUAACGUCCGUCGUGAAGAGGGAAACAACCCAGACCGCCAGCUAAGGUCCCAAAGUCAUGGUUAAGUGGGAAACGAUGUGGGAAGGCACAGACAGCGGGAUGUUGGCUUAGAAGCAGCCAUCAUUUAAAGAAAGCGUAAUAGCUCACUGGUCGAGUCGGCCUGCGCGGAAGAUGUAACGGGGCUAAACCAUGCACCGAAGCUGCGGCAGCGACACUAUGUGUUGUUGGGUAGGGGAGCGUUCUGUAAGCCUGCGAAGGUGUGCUGUGAGGCAUGCUGGAGGUAUCAGAAGUGCGAAUGCUGACAUAAGUAACGAUAAAGCGGGUGAAAAGCCCGCUCGCCGGAAGACCAAGGGUUCCUGUCCAACGUUAAUCGGGGCAGGGUGAGUCGACCCCUAAGGCGAGGCCGAAAGGCGUAGUCGAUGGGAAACAGGUUAAUAUUCCUGUACUUGGUGUUACUGCGAAGGGGACGGAGAAGGCUAUGUUAGCCGGGCGACGGUUGUCCCGGUUUAAGCAUGUAGGCUGGUUAUCCAGGCAAAUCCGGAUAAUCAAGGCUGAGGUGUGAUGACGAGGCACUACGGUGCUGAAGUAACAAAUGCCCUGCUUCCAGGAAAAGCCUCUAAGCAUCAGGUAACAUCAAAUCGUACCCCAAACCGACACAGGUGGUCAGGUAGAGAAUACCAAGGCGCUUGAGAGAACUCGGGUGAAGGAACUAGGCAAAAUGGUGCCGUAACUUCGGGAGAAGGCACGCUGGUGUGUAGGUGAAGUCCCUGCGGAUGGAGCUGAGACCAGUCGAAGAUACCAGCUGGCUGCAACUGUUUAUUAAAAACACAGCACUGUGCAAACACGAAAGUGGACGUAUACGGUGUGACGCCUGCCCGGUGCCGGAAGGUUAAUUGAUGGGGUUAUCCGUAAGGAGAAGCUCUUGAUCGAAGCCCCGGUAAACGGCGGCCGUAACUAUAACGGUCCUAAGGUAGCGAAAUUCCUUGUCGGGUAAGUUCCGACCUGCACGAAUGGCGUAAUGAUGGCGAGGCUGUCUCCACCCGAGACUCAGUGAAAUUGAACUCGCUGUGAAGAUGCAGUGUACCCGCGGCAAGACGGAAAGACCCCGUGAACCUUUACUAUAGCUUGACACUGAACAUUGAGCCUUGAUGUGUAGGAUAGGUGGGAGGCUUUGAAGCGUGGACGCCAGUCUGCGUGGAGCCAACCUUGAAAUACCACCCUUUAAUGUUUGAUGUUCUAACGUUGGCCCCUGACCGGGGUUGCGGACAGUGUCUGGUGGGUAGUUUGACUGGGGCGGUCUCCUCCCAAAGCGUAACGGAGGAGCACGAAGGUUAGCUAAUCUGGUCGGACAUCAGGAGGUUAGUGCAAUGGCAUAAGCUAGCUUGACUGCGAGCGUGACGGCGCGAGCAGGUGCGAAAGCAGGUCAUAGUGAUCCGGUGGUUCUGAAUGGAAGGGCCAUCGCUCAACGGAUAAAAGGUACUCCGGGGAUAACAGGCUGAUACCGCCCAAGAGUUCAUAUCGACGGCGGUGUUUGGCACCUCGAUGUCGGCUCAUCACAUCCUGGGGCUGAAGUAGGUCCCAAGGGUAUGGCUGUUCGCCAUUUAAAGUGGUACGCGAGCUGGGUUUAGAACGUCGUGAGACAGUUCGGUCCCUAUCUGCCGUGGGCGCUGGAGAAUUGAGGGGCUGCUCCUAGUACGAGAGGACCGGAGUGGACGCAUCACUGGUGUUCGGGUUGUCAUGCCAAUGGCACUGCCCGGUAGCUAAAUGCGGAAGAGAUAAGUGCUGAAAGCAUCUAAGCACGAAACUUGCCCCGAGAUGAGUUCUCCCUGAGACUAUAAGUCUCCUGAAGGAACGUUAAAGACGAUGACGUUGAUAGGCCGGGUGUGUAAGCGCAGCGAUGCGUUGAGCUAACCGGUACUAAUGAACCGUGAGGCUUAACCUUACAACGCCGAAG
rnacentral:rRNA from 1 species